rnacentral:rRNA from 1 species
AUUGAACGCUGGCGGCAUGCUUUACACAUGCAAGUCGAACGGCAGCGCGGGCUUCGGCCUGGCGGCGAGUGGCGAACGGGUGAGUAAUGCAUCGGAACGUGCCCAGCAGUGGGGGAUAGCCCGGCGAAAGCCGGAUUAAUACCGCAUACGACCUGAGGGUGAAAGCGGGGGACCGAAAGGCCUCGCGCUAUUGGAGGGGCCGAUGUCGGAUUAGCUAGUUGGUGGGGUAAAGGCUUACCAAGGCGACGAUCCGUAGCUGGUCUGAGAGGACGACCAGCCACACUGGGACUGAGACACGGCCCAGACUCCUACGGGAGGCAGCAGUGGGGAAUUUUGGACAAUGGGGGCAACCCUGAUCCAGCCAUGCCGCGUGCGGGAAGAAGGCCUUCGGGUUGUAAACCGCUUUUGUUCGGGAAGAAAUCCUCUGGGCUAAUACCCCGGGGGGAUGACGGUACCGGAAGAAUAAGCACCGGCUAACUACGUG